UGAUGUAGCUUAUACCCAUUAUAUCUCACAGUUACAACAAAGUGGGUUGCUUAAAGGGGAUGAUCACAUGGAUCGCUUUUUCCGAAUCCUCAUGGAAAUUUCUGUAGCAAAUUGUUUGGCCACUGACAUGAUUAAUCCAAGCUCAUUGUCCCUACAAACGCCACAACAAGUCCAGCAUCUCUCAUUUGCUGUUAUUGAUAUGUAUGCAAAGCUUGUGGUUUUAGUUAUUAAGUUUGGGUAUCUAUGAACAGUAUCAGGAGCAAUGGGAUGAUCUGUUGCAACCCCAUGUGUGAGUUCUCUCUUUCCCUGAGGAAAUACCAAGUUCAUCAUUCUUCUCUUCCCUCAAGUGAUCAUAAUAACCAUGCUCUUGUCCUGA